rnacentral:lncRNA from 1 species
GGCUAAUCAGUGCACUUAAAAAGGCACUGCUUCCCCAUUGCUGGCCAGUAAGGAAGUCGCUCGCGCACCCUGCAGCACCGCUCGGCGGCACCCGGACAUGCGGCACAACGCGCGGCCCCUGGGUGUGCUGGCAGCCGUUGCCAAGGGACUCCUCCUGCUCUGGGCCGUGCCUGCACACAGCACUCAGCCCCCAUCCCCGCAGCAGACCCAGGCCUUGCUGCGGCACAUGGCCGAGGAUGCACAGGAGCUCUUCAAACUCUACGAACAGGAACAGCACCUGGCCCACAACUUGUGCCGGGCCAACAGCUCGCUGGAGUGGCUGCGGGGGACUUUGGGGUCAAGAGAGAAGGAUCUGCGGGCACUGCACAGCACCAUGACCCGCAUGGAGCGGGAGCUGCAGGACAUUUUCCAGCACCAGAGCAAUCUCCAUCCACCCGAUGCCACCAUCCUGCACCGCCUCCGCAGCGCCCGCAUGAAGGUGCGCGGGCUGCUGGCCCACCUGCACGACACCAUGGAGGCCCGUGGCAUCGUCCCCUCCACCAUCCCUCCAUCCCGGGGGCCGGCGGCCAGCAAGGUGUUCCAGCAGAAGCUGCAGGGUUGCCGCGUGCUGUGGAAUUACGCCCGCUUCGUGGCCAAGCUCAGCGCCCGCAUGGAGCGCAUGGAGCGCACGCGGGCACGGCGCGAGGAGAGGGGCCGGCGGCGAGGGCGGCGGCGGGGAUGGAGGACAAGCAGACCCUAAAGGAGAUCUCCAUGCCAACACCAAGCCUGCAGGGAUGUAGAGCUGUGCCCGGUGCUGGCACCGGGGUCACUAUGGGUUGGUGACAGCCCGCCCUGCCGGAUUUUCCAGUGAUUCAAUGGGUCCGGUGACACAGCCUGACUAAGGGGCCCAACACCCGCACACGGCACAGCACCGGCUGUGAGUGCCGCCCGUCUGUCCCCCUGCAACCCCCACUGCCAUCUCAGGGGGUUUGGUGACCCUGGAGAUCAGAGCCCCUGAGAGCUUGGUGCCCUUUCCAUCAUCUUGGUGCCCUUCCCAUCAUCUUGGUGCCCUUCCCAUCUUGGUGCCCUUUCCAUCAUCUUGGUGUCCUUCCCAUCUUGGUGUCCCCACUCGUGUGGUGUCUCUGUGAGCUUGGGGUCCCUUAUUAGUUUUGGGUCCCUUCAAGCUUGGUGUCCUUCUGAGCUCUGUGUCCCCGCUCCCUCGGUGUCCCUGUUAGCUUUGUGUUCCUUAAAGUCUUGGUGUCCCUUCAAACUUGAUUUCCCCACUCAGUUGGUGACCCCACACUCACUUGACAUCCCUACAAGCUUGGGGUCCCUAUUAAUUUUGUGUCCCUCCUACCUUGAUGUCCCCACUCACUUGACACCCCCACUCGAGGGCACGGUGUCCCCUUUCAGCAUCCUCAUGAGCACACUGAGCUCACCUCUGUGCUUUCCUCCUCACCCCUCCUCACUCUCUGUCCCCAUCAUCCCCAUUCCCACCCCAUCCCGUCAUCACCCCACACCCUUGGGGUGCCCCCAGGUGUUGGGCACAGCCCCGUGCUCUGGCAGUGGGCACCGACCCCCCCAUAACUUAUACAUGACAGUGGUUCCUGUAUUUAUUGAAGCCAUCAAAUUAAUUUAACGCAUCCCCGCCCUGGGGAUGAAUAUUUAAGUUUACACUUUUAAUAUAUAAAUGGAUAUCUAUUUUUGUUAAUUUUUUUUUUUAUUGUAUUGUGUUAAAGUAUAAAUGUGAUGAUAUUUUAUUUAUGAAUGCAAAUAUUAUUUUGUACUGGAAGAAGGGACCAACCCUUUAUUUUUCUAUGGCAGCAGAUGGAAAUAAAGUCUUGACCUCGGCCUGUGGGCUGAUGCCU